rfam:Picea glauca, whole genome shotgun sequence.
AUACCUUUAUCAGCCUUUUGGCUAAGAUAAAGUGUAGUAUUUCUUCUUAUCAGUUUAAUAUCUGAUACGUGGUUCAUAGAACCACAUGAUAUUAAAUGUAUUUUUCUAGAGGGAGGGUCCACUUCCAGUAGCUUUCUAAUGGGACUUAAGUGCGUUGCACACUACAACGCAAGCCAG